rnacentral:lncRNA from 1 species
ACAAAAGUACAGAGCAUCAUUAAGUUUUGAUGUUACUGCAAUAUUAAAGUGAGUGUGAUUGAAGGUUUUAAAGUAGAUCUUUAGAAUGUUGUCAAAACUGGAGAGUUUCAACGUUCUUUUUAAUAGAAAGGAGAGAAGGGCGGAUUUGGGAUUUACUACAUUCUUCUCUUUCGUCUAUGAUGUAGGGGUAAAUCUGGAAUUUCCACUUUUAGCUGUGAAUUCCAAGUUUGAUAUCUAUACGUUCUAAAUAUUGAUUUUUGACUGUACAAUUGAUUACGAAUAUGGCAUCCACAACAUCGGACUUAUUCAAAUCGUAAGAAACCAUUGUGUUCAUUAUAUAACGUAGAUUUUGACUGAACUUUUGAAUGCACGCCUGAGCAGCCUCAAUAUAUGCCAUACAAAUAAAAAAAAAAUCCAGUUUUGAUUCAUCUGUCUAGGAUUUUACUGAUUUCCUACUAUCAUUUCAGCAGUGUGCGAUGUGGUUUACGAUCAACUUCAAAAAAUUAGAUGGCC